AUUGAACGCUGGCGGCAUGCCUUACACAUGCAAGUCGAACGGCAGCGGGGGAGAAGCUUGCUUUUCCUGCCGGCGAGUGGCGAACGGGUGAGUAAUACAUCGGAACGUGCCCUGUAGUGGGGGAUAACUAGUCGAAAGAUUAGCUAAUACCGCAUACGACCUGAGGGUGAAAGUGGGGGACCGCAAGAACUCCAGCUCUUGGAGCGGCCGAUAUCAGAUUAGCUAGUUGGUAGGGUAAAAGCCUACCAAGGCAACGAUCUGUAGCUGGUCUGAGAGGACGACCAGCCACACUGGGACUGAGACACGGCCCAGACUCCUACGGGAGGCAGCAGUGGGGAAUUUUGGACAAUGGGCGCAAGCCUGAUCCAGCCAUGCCGCGUGUGGGAAGAAGGCCUUCGGGUUGUAAACCACUUUUGUCAGGGAAGAAACGCUCUGGAUUAAUACUCUGGGGUAAUGACGGUACCUGAAGAAUAAGCACCGGCUAACUACGUGCCAGCAGCCGCAGUAA
rnacentral:rRNA from 1 species